rnacentral:rRNA from 1 species
GAAUUCGCCCUUAGAGUUUGAUCCUGGCUCAAGAUGAACGCUGGCGGCGUGCUUAACACAUGCAAGUCGAACGGAACUGUCAUUUUUGAAGCAAUUAGCUUGCUAAGGGUGGAAAUGUUGGCAGUUUAGUGGCGGACGGGUGAGUAACGCGUGGGUAACCUGCCUUACACAGGGGGAUAACACCUGGAAACAGGUGCUAAUACCGCAUAACAGGAAGAGGCGCAUGCCACUUUCUUGAAAACUCCGGUGGUGUAAGAUGGACCCGCGUCUGAUUAGCUAGUUGGCGGGGUAACGGCCCACCAAGGCGACGAUCAGUAGCCGGCCUGAGAGGGUGGACGGCCACAUUGGGACUGAGACACGGCCCAAACUCCUACGGGAGGCAGCAGUGGGGAAUAUUGGACAAUGGGGGGAACCCUGAUCCAGCGACGCCGCGUGAGUGAAGAAGUAUUUCGGUAUGUAAAGCUCUAUCAGCAGGGAAGAAAGAAAUGACGGUACCUGACUAAGAAGCCCCGGCUAACUACGUGCCAGCAGCCGCGGUAAUACGUAGGUGGCGAGCGUUAUCCGGAAUGAUUGGGCGUAAAGGGUGCGUAGGCGGCCUGCUAAGUCUGGAGUGAAAGGUACCGGCUCAACCGGUACAGGCUCUGGAAACUGGCGGGCUAGAGAGCAGGAGAGGGCGGUGGAACUCCAUGUGUAGCGGUAAAAUGCGUAGAUAUAUGGAAGAACACCAGUGGCGAAGGCGGCCGCCUGGCCUGUUAACUGACGCUGAGGCACGAAAGCGUGGGGAGCAAAUAGGAUUAGAUACCCUAGUAGUCCACGCCGUAAAUGAUGAGGACCAAGUGUUGAGGAAGACCCAGUGCUGCAGUUAACGCAGUGAGUCCUCCGCCUGGGGAGUAUGCACGCAAGUGUGAAACUCAAAGGAAUUGACGGGGGCCCGCACAAGCGGUGGAGUAUGUGGUUUAAUUCGAAGCAACGCGAAGAACCUUACCAGGCCUUGACAUAGGGUGCGAAGCUAUGGAGACAUAGUGGAGGUAAACAUCCAUACAGGUGGUGCAUGGUUGUCGUCAGCUCGUGUCGUGAGAUGUUCAGUUAAGUCUGGCAACGAGCGCAACCCUCGUGAUGUGUUACCAAUAUCGAGUUAGGGACUCACAUCAGACUGCCGGUGAGAAACCGGAGGAAGGCGGGGAGGACGUCAAAUCAUCAUGCCCCUUAUGGCCUGGGCUACACACGUACUACAAUGGCGGCGACAGAGGGCAGCGAGCCUGCGAAGGCAAGCGAAUCCCCAAAAAGCCGUCCCAGUUCGGAUUGGAGUCUGCAACCCGACUCCAUGAAGUUGGAAUCGCUAGUAAUCGCGGAUCGGCGUGCCGCGGUGAAUACGUUC